rnacentral:rRNA from 1 species
UACGGAGGGUGCAAGCGUUAUCCGGAUUCACUGGGUUUAAAGGGUGCGUAGGCGGAUAGGUAAGUCCGUGGUGAAAUCCUGCAGCUUAACUGCAGAACUGCCGUGGAUACUAUCUAUCUUGAAUGUCGUGGAGGUUAGCGGAAUAUGUCAUGUAGCGGUGAAAUGCUUAGAUAUGACAUAGAACACCCAUUGCGAAGGCAGCUAACUACGCGAUAAUUGACGCUGUUGCACGAAAGCGUGGGGAUCAAACAGG